GAGUUUGAUCAUGGCUCAGAUUGAACGCUGGCGGCAUGCUUUACACAUGCAAGUCGAACGGUAACAGGGAGCUUGCUCCGCUGACGAGUGGCGAACGGGUGAGUAAUGCGUCGGAACGUGCCGAGUAGUGGGGGAUAACGCAUCGAAAGGUGUGCUAAUACCGCAUACGAACUGAGGUUGAAAGUGGGGGACCUUCGGGCCUCACGCUAUUCGAGCGGCCGACGUCUGAUUAGCUAGUAGGUGAGGUAAAGGCUCACCUAGGCGACGAUCAGUAGCGGGUCUGAGAGGAUGAUCCGCCACACUGGGACUGAGACACGGCCCAGACUCCUACGGGAGGCAGCAGUGGGGAAUUUUGGACAAUGGGCGCAAGCCUGAUCCAGCCAUGCCGCGUGUCUGAAGAAGGCCUUCGGGUUGUAAA
rnacentral:rRNA from 1 species